CACGUAGGGGCCAAGCGUUGUCCGGAUUUAUUGGGCGUAAAGAGCUCGUAGGCGGCUCGGUAAGUCGGGUGUGAAACCUCCAGGCUCAACCUGGAGACGCCACCUGAUACUGCUGUGGCUAGAGUCCGGUAGGGGAGCGUGGAAUUCCUGGUGUAGCGGUGAAAUGCGCAGAUAUCAGGAGGAACACCAGCGGCGAAGGCGGCGCUCUGGGCCGGAACUGACGCUGAGGAGCGAAAGCGUGGGGAGCGAACAGG
rnacentral:rRNA from 1 species